rnacentral:lncRNA from 1 species
CCUCACCUAACAGUUAUUGGUGCCCAACCCCACCUUUACCCUACAACAUCUCAUGUCUAUAGAGAGGUCCAGCCCCCCAAUGCAACUUGCCCACUGUGUCCAGCCGAGACAAAUCAACAUCAGAAAAGCCUUAGUAGCUCUACUACGGUGGAAGACCUAUGGACUUAAUAUCGGUUAAUCAGGUCUUAGUGUUUGCAACUUGAGCUCUUCAUAAAAGGUAAUCGAACAAUUGGCCAGGUAAGCAGGUGGGAGGCUCUCCUUACUCAGAGAGUAAGGUCCUAAUUAAGUAACCACCUUUCAUGCUUUCCUAGACACCAAUUA